UACGUAGGUGGCAAGCGUUGUCCGGAUUUACUGGGCGUAAAGAGCGCGCAGGCGGUCGUUCAAGUCGCGUGUGAAAGCCCCCGGCUCAACUGGGGAGGGUCACGCGAUACUGAUCGACUCGAAGGCAGGAGAGGGUAGUGGAAUUCCCGGUGUAGUGGUGAAAUGCGUAGAUAUCGGGAAGAACACCCGUGGCGAAGGCGGCUCUCUGGAACGCAACUGACGCUGAGACGCGAAAGCGUGGGGAGCAAACAGG
rnacentral:rRNA from 1 species